AGCCAGUCCUGAUGAUUUCUACAAAUGGGAAUCUCUCUGACAAAGACAGUGGAGAAUUUUGUAUCUGAACUGACC